rnacentral:rRNA from 1 species
UACAGAGACUGCAAGCGUUAUUCGGAUUCACUGGGCGUAAAGGGUGCGCAGGCGGCCAAGUGUGUGAGGCGUGAAAGCCCGGGGCUUAACCCCGGAAUUGCACCUCAAACUACAUGGCUAGAGCAUUGGAGAGGGUAGCGGAAUUCACGGUGUAGCAGUGAAAUGCGUAGAGAUGUGGAGGAACACCGAUGGCGAAGGCAGCCCCCUGGGCUGAGAUUGACGCUCAGGCACGAAAGCGUGGGGAGCAAACAGG